rnacentral:rRNA from 1 species
CAGUCGCCGCGGUAACACGUAGGGUGCGAGCGUUAAUCGGAAUUACUGGGCGUAAAGCGUGCGCAGGCGGUUUUGUAAGACAGGCGUGAAAUCCCCGGGCUCAACCUGGGAAUGGCGCUUGUGACUGCAAAGCUGGAGUGCGGCAGAGGGGGAUGGAAUUCCGCGUGUAGCAGUGAAAUGCGUAGAUAUGCGGAGGAACACCGAUGGCGAAGGCAAUCCCCUGGGCCUGCACUGACGCUCAUGCACGAAAGCGUGGGGAGCAAACAGGAUUAGAUACCCGUGUAGUCCCUGUCUCUUAUAC